AGGGCUCGAUACAUCAGCUAACAGGACAUGAGAUAGAUAUAAUGCUGGAAAGGAGCACAGUACUGACACACCCCAGGCUCAGCUUAAUAACAUCCUUCCUAUAACUGGGCGACCCGAACUGGACACAGUAUUCCAGAAGAGGACCAAAGGAUUGAGCAGUGAAAGCAAGUGUGGUACUCAGGAAGUUCCUGACUCGAUAGACUUCCCAACUGCUGGGUGUCUGGUCCGUCACCACAUUGAAGAUGGUUGGUCA